ACAAGACAGCAGUUGUUUUUUUCCUACUUAAGUGAUGCAUGUAUAUUAUCUUACUGAUUCCUGAAGCUUUGAAUCUGGAUUUGUCAAAUACUGAACUAGCAUCAUCUUGGAACUAACUUGUGGAAUUGUCAAAUGGUGCCUGUUGGCAUUAAAUUAAAUUCAGCCAUAUAUGUGCUUCACCAAUGUUUGAUGCCAAAAACUGGAAAUAUUUCCAUGCCUAAUCGCUUGAAAUUGUAUCAAAUGACUUUAUAUUGAUAGUCAUAAAGAAAGAUCUCUCUAUGUGCAUGUGGAGGGGGUUAUGAUCAAAUUCAUUCUGUGCUACUUUAUGCUGUAGACUAUGAGAAACUUCACAAUCUUUAAGUCAAGCUGCCCAACUAGACCCAUGUUUUUAUUAAAUUGAACUGUUAAGUAUUUCUCUAUAUAGUUAUUUCCUUCAAGACUUCUGCAAAAAAUCUGACAGACUGUUUGUGAAGCUACUUUCUCAUUUUGCUUCGUCUUCUCACAUGUGAAUUAUGUUAGGAAAAGAUAGUCUUUGUUGCAGUUAAAGGUGAUUUGGAGUGUAGAAGUGAGUAAAUUAAGUACAAUUGAUGUACCUAUAUAGAGAGUCUGGGGGCAUACUGUGAUUAUGUCACUGAGCGUCUGUCAAAUAGUGUUGUCUAGAAAUGGAAAUCACUUGCUUGGUGUUUGUAAGUGUAUAAAAGGGCAUUUGAGAUAGGUAGAUAUGAUAUGAGUCAUUUGAAAGGGUAGAGUUGACUCGGUGAAAAAAGGUUCUAGAUCUUCUCUUCCCAGAACCUUGUUUUCUACUGGUGGAAACUUUUUGUGGGGUAGCAUUCUCUGUAGCUGCAUGAGAAGGGCAUGCUGAGCUAUUGGUAGGAACAUAAGAAGUGAUAGCCACUAGAAAGAAUGUUAUUUAAUGUAAUUCACAUAGUACAUUACAUUUAUCUAUUUGUAUUUUCAAGACUCUUAAUCAGAAAGAAUUUGUCUCGAGUUAGAAGAGCAAAUAUGUAAUACAAUCUUGUUUCAUGUGCUUGUGAUGAGAUCCUUAUACCAGUUAUUGGUAAUAAGUUGAUAGAAUGGGGAGAGAGGAUGUUAUUCAAUAUCUAAGAGAUGAGUGAAUAAGAUGCUAGAUUACAAACAGUAACUUUGGACAUUAUGCCAUGUUCUUCAAUAUUUUUCUAGUGACAAACAGGAGGAAAAUAAUAAGAGAACCAGAAAUGUUGAGAUUGGCAGAUCUUACAUGACAUGGAUAAUGAAUUUAUCUAAUUGUUUUGCCAAUAUUGAGCUGAACAAAGUAAAAUUUGCCAAUAUUUAACUUGAUUCCAGACAGAUUGAUUUGCCAGUAAGCAAAAUAAGGUCAAUUCUUUGUUGUCCAACUCACAUCUGGGGACUUAUCCUCACCAAUUUUUGCUUUGUUAAGUGUGAACUGGCUUGGGCUAUACGGAAUUGCCUUUUUAGCAUUUGUGAGGAGCAGUGAGUGUGCUUAGAGUCAUUGGAAAUUUUGUUGGUUUAACCUCUAGAGGGUUUUGUGGCGGGAAAAUUGCCAAUGUUUUUGGAAUUGUGCCUUCUGAAGCUCUUAUAGGCAUCCUUUAAAGGUUAUCCAAUUUGAUUGGAAGGCAUUCAGUUUUAGCUUAAGCUUUAUGUUUUCUCCUUGUUUUUAAGUUAUAGGAGAUUUCUUGUCCGUUAUAGCAAACACUCAUUUCUUUCUUUAUUAAUAAUAAUUGUCUUAUCUAAACAAAAGACUGAACAUUUGCUGUCUUCUUUAUGCAGUUCAAGAGGAGAAUCUGGCUUCAGAAUCAGUAAAUUAAACAGGAGGUGGACUAGAUUUUUUAAUCAGGCCUUUUGUUUAUAAGGGAUGGUUAAUAACUGCAUUUGAACUUUGUCCUUCAAACUAAUGCCUCUACAGAGUCUUCAAUGGCCAUCCCAAAUACUGCUGCUGCAUAUUUUGACAUGUUGUGAACUUACAGUGGGAGCAGUUCCUUGAAAGCUUCUUCGCUGCUUCAAGCUAAAGCUAGGUGGUUUUCAUUGUUGUGUUCUAAAUUAAAGAAAAGUUGCAGAUGGUGUUUAAAUACAUGUACUUUAUGAUGAUUUCUUACUUUCUACAGAAUUGAGUGUUCAAAAGUGAAAUUGUAUAUAAUUGUAUUUUGUGUAGUAAUAUGCUCCUUUCAUUCAAUGGCUAAGCUACACAUCACAAGUUUUUCUCACCUUC